rnacentral:misc_RNA from 1 species
UUGCAUUCAAAAAACUACUCAUUCAAUUUAAAAUUAAAGAACAAUCUGCAAAACUUGAUCAUAUAGCAAACUAAUCCUUUUGCCACUAAACAAGAAAUUAAACUAUAACCCACCAACGGGAAAUUCUAAACAUAACCAGUAGACAAUCCCUAACAAACAUCUUAAGACAUAUCGCCAGCAGCGCAUAAAAGAAAGCAUGUAACAUAACUGAAACUGACGAGUAGAUUAUCGCUUUUUCGACACACCAACAGUUUUUCCUCUGCGGCCGGUGGUCUUUGUGUGCUGACCACGAACUCGGAGGCCCCAGUAGUGACGUAAACCACGAUGAUUCCUGAUCUUUUUCAGGCGCUCCAGAUCAUCCCUAAGCUUCAUG